rnacentral:lncRNA from 1 species
CCCAUAUCUUGUGUUGUGGGGCUGGAACCCCCAUAUGUUGUCUUGUGGGGCUGGGGUGGCCCCAUACCCUGUGUUGUAGGGCAGGUCUGACCCACACCCUGUGUUGUGGGGCCGGGGUGACCCCAUACCCUGCAAUGUGGGGCAGUGGGAGGCGCACAGGACCCCAUCUCUGCCCCACAUCAUGCAGUGGCGGCCGGAGCUGUGCUAUAGGGCUUCCUAUAGGGCAGGCCGUAGGGCCGGGAAAUAAAGGCGGGUUUAUGGGACAGGCAGCGACCCCAACGGGAUCUACGCACGAUCCCAUCCCGACCCCUCGGCCCCACUGCAGCCCCACACGCCGUGGGGCGACGCCGGGACUGAAAGAAAAGCCGUGGCUGAAAAUAGAGCUCUGUUGGUUCUCUGUACAGAAGAGAUGCAAAAGGGGGAAAUGGGGUCUCUAAAAGGCGGUGUGGGGGCAGAGCGGCC